rnacentral:rRNA from 1 species
AACGAACGCUGGCGGCAGGCCUAACACAUGCAAGUCGAGCGCGCCCUUCGGGGUGAGCGGCGGACGGGUGAGUAACGCGUGGGAACGUGCCCUUCUCUGCGGAAUAGCCUCGGGAAACUGAGAGUAAUACCGCAUACGCCCUUUGGGGGAAAGAUUUAUCGGAGAAGGAUCGGCCCGCGUUGGAUUAGGUAGUUGGUGGGGUAAUGGCCCACCAAGCCGACGAUCCAUAGCUGGUUUGAGAGGAUGAUCAGCCACACUGGGACUGAGACACGGCCCAGACUCCUACGGGAGGCAGCAGUGGGGAAUCUUAGACAAUGGGGGCAACCCUGAUCUAGCCAUACCGCGUGAGUGAUGAAGGCCUUAGGGUUGUAAAGCUCUUUCAGCUGGGAAGAUAAUGACGGUACCAGCAGAAGAAGCCCCGGCUAACUCCGUG